rnacentral:misc_RNA from 1 species
UGAUUAAUUCAAAAUAUGGGAUGGAAUGGUAAUUACUAGAUACUGUGCCCAUAACUUUAAAACUUGGUGGGAAUACAGUCUUCUACUUUUACUACACAAUUCAAAUGCAAGCAUGCAUCAGUUCUUAUUAUAUUCAGUUUAAAUUAGAGGGAUUCUUACUUGUGAGCAACUGUGUUGCCCAAACAGGGUGAGAUUGGGGAUGGACAGG